rnacentral:rRNA from 1 species
UCGAGAAUCUUUGUCAAUGGGCGCAAGCCUGAACGAGCGACGCCGCGUGUGGGAUGAAGGCCCUUGGGUUGUAAACCACUGUCAGGGGGUACGAAUAAGCGUGUAACCCACGCGAUGACUUAAACCCCAAAGGAAGUGACGGCUAACUACGUGCCAGCAGCUGCGGUAAUACGUAGGUCACGAACGUUAUUCGGAAUCACUGGGCUUAAAGGGCGCGUAGGCGGCUUAACAAGUCAUGGUUGAAAUCCGACGGCUCACCCGUCGAACUGGCCCUGAUACUGUCAAGCUAGAGUUGCGGAGGGAUGCGUGGAACUUGUGGUGGAGCGGUGAAAUGCCCAGAUAUCACAGGGAACACCGGUGGCGAAGGCGACGCAUUGGCCGCAUACUGACGCUGAGGCGCGA